GCAACUACUCUAUCAUGCCAUCAAUGAUGAUAAUGCAUGCAACAACUACUAUCAUGCCAGAAUCAUGUCAUGAGUAUAUAAAAGUACAUAGCAAUGCAAUCUACAACAUACACUAUGUCUACUCGAAGUAAUAAUGCAAGUCUACUAUGCAUCUCAUGUUUAUUACCCAAUCUACUAGGCCAACUUGCCUAAGAUCUCAAAUCUCAAAGGUCCUAGACAAAGAGCUACCCCGCUCCUUGCCCGACUCAAUCUUGAAGGUCCUAGGCAAAGAGCUACCCCGCUCCUCGCCCGACUCAAUCUCGCUCUAUUAGGUACGAGCUGCUACGUAGUAAUGGAAUAUACACAUGCUACUAUGCCUCUGUAAUCAUGGAAUGCAUGAAUAUAGCAAUGAUAUUCUACUAAUCAUGAUACUAUGCUUCAACAAAUAUGGAAAUGAGCUACUACAUAGUGAUGUAUCUACAACAUGCUACUAUGUCUCAAUAAUCCGAAUGAACGAGCUACUACAUAGUGCGUCGUGCAACUAUGCCUCGAUAGUAUCCAAUCUCAUGGCUAACCCGAAGGUUGCCACCCCGGGGACAACCCCGACUCACUUUCAAUCUCAUAGGUGAGGAGAAACUGCACUCGCACACCGAGACCGUCUGCGGGACAACCCUGUGAGAUACUCCGGAGACUCGUGCCUCGGUGGAGCGACCACCGACAAGCGAAAACAGACUAGUGAGUAUAAUCCAAUCCUCUCAAGAGGAUACCCUAUCUACAAGGGUCAAUGUGCCUCAACUGCACUAAUGCCAAAUGCAUAAUGUCUACAACAUGACAAUAGGAAAAAUCUACUAUACUAAUUCAAUGUCGCUUGUUUUCAUCAUCACAAGUCCAAGUUCAUCAUCAUUCUUGUCACUAUAGGAUUCUUGUCACAUGACCCAAUCCUCAUGAACCUAAGUUCAAGUGUCAAGCCCAUAAUGCUACACUACCAUAGGAAACAUGCAAGGAAAUGGAAUGUAAUCAUCUACUAAUCCUAUAAUGCACAAUAUCAAUAUAUGAAUAUGAUCAAAAUAAAACCUAGACAUAAAAGGAAGCCCGGAUGUUUCGGUAUGACAACCCCCAC
rnacentral:lncRNA from 1 species